AAUGAACGCUGGCGGCGUGCCUAAUACAUGCAAGUCGAGCGACCGGACAAGGAGAUUGCUCCUUUGCGGUUAGCGGCGGACGGGUGGGUAAGACAUGGGUCACCAACCUCUAAGACUGGGAUAACUACGGGAGACCGCAGACGAUAACGGCUAAUAUUUCGAACCGCAUGGUUCAGUAGUGCAAGAUACCUCUGCUAACACUUAUAGAUGAACCUGGGCCGGAUUAGCUAGUUGGUAAGGUAACGGCUUACCAAGGCAACGAUCCGUAGCCGACCUGAGAGGGUGAUCGGCCACACUGGAACUGAGACACGGUCCAGACUCCUACGGGAGGCAGCAGUAGGGAAUCUUCCGCAAUGGGCGAAAGCCUGACGGAGCAACGCCGCGUGAGUGAUGAAGGUCUUCGGAUCGUAAAACUCUGUUAUUAGGGAAGAACAGACGUGUAAGUAACUGUGCACGUCUUGACGGUACCUAAUCAGAAAGCCACGGCUAACUACGUG
rnacentral:rRNA from 1 species